UAGUUAUCAGAUCACCCAAAAUUCGACCAAUCACGAUCAUUCUCACUUAUUUAACGGUCAUUGUUCUUCGGGAAAGUGAACGCUGCAGCACGUAGGUCGACGAUGCCGUAAAAAUAAUAUUAAGAGUGAAAAUAAUGAGUGGAAGAUCGGAGAAGAAAUCUGUUCGUUUAUCCACGUCCAUCCAUCCAUCCAUCCAUCGAUCGAUCUAUCAAUCAGAGUUCUACAUCGGAGAACAUCUUUGGCAAAGUAUUUGUAGACGCGUUACAUCGAAUUUGUUCGUAAAAGAGACAAAGUGAAUAGAACAGAACGAUAGGACGAAUGAUACGAUAGAAUGGCGAAGAUUGAUUAUAUCCAAAGAUGAUGAAGAUUAUAACUACAGGAUAGAACAAAAAAAAAAGAGAAAGAAAGAAAGGAAAAGAAGAGGAAAAACAGAAGGAAAGAAGACUUUUUGUGAUCUCUUUGGGAACUUUCUAGCUUCUAUAUUAUAUCAUUAUCAUCUUUCAAUCUUUCAAUCAAAAUUGAAAUGAGAACUAGCAAAUAUUGGAAACAAUAUGGUCGUAGGAAGUUAAUCGAAUCCUUCUUUAUUUCCUGAAGGAAGAUGAAAAUAUUUGUUGAAUGCUAUGUGAUAAAGGAAAGCAAUGGUCCGCCAUAUGGCGUUCGCGAAACCGAAGUCUUUCUCAGUGGUUAUAUUACUAAAGUUCCUUUAUUUCUCUUUCACUCUACGGUGAGAUAGAUAGAGAAAGAAAGAAAGAGAUAGAUAAAUAGAUAGAUAGAUAAAUAGAUAGAGAGAGAGAGAGAAAAGAGAAAGAGAAAGAUAGAAUUGUGACCAGGAUUUCAUCUGUCAACAUCUGUUUCCUUGGUUGAACAUGAGAUUCCAUUACUUGGAAACGUCCUGAAGGAGUAAACGAAGAAGAAGAAGAAGAAGAAAACUAUGGGAUCGUAUCCUCUACCUGUCCAUAUACUUUAGCUCCCAUAAGAGAUACCCUACCACAAAGAUCUAGAUCUCUCUUUGUUCCCUAAAUCUCUUACAUGAAGAUAUAAAGUGGGAGAAGGAUAACGUAUGUUUGUAUGUGUAUAAUGGGUAUGAGUCCUCCUACAUGUUUUUUCAUCGAAACGACGGAUUUUCAUCAUAGGAUUUCUUAUAUAGAAAGGAGAGCAUACCAGAAGAUCAGUUGGCAGAGUUAUUGGUAAAAGAAAAAGUAAAUAAAUAAACGACCAGAAAGAAAAAUUGAUAAAACCAGCUCGCGCUAUUAAUAAUAUAUCCGACGAGUCCGAGGUAUCAACGAACGAAAUAUUUUUCUAUGGAAAUUGUUGCAAUUGGCAGUAAUUAUCGAUAAGAAGAUUA